GAGAUUACAACUCAUCGUAGUAUUUCCUGUCACAUCAUAUCAUUCUGACUCAAGCAUCAACACAUCCAUCACCCUCCUUAACACAAGCCACGCCACUUUACAGCUCGUGGUCGCAAAACAAAAAAAACUUCGCACCUUUUCUCUCCCCGGGACUAGGAAAGCUUCAAGGGCUGGAGUGCAAUCCUCGUGUCGUAGACAUACCCAGCACAAAGAGUUCCCACAUUCAUCUGUGACAUACAUUGGUCAGAGGAUGACGCAAAAAAAAAACAAAAAUAGUACAGCAAUAAUUGCCCCGUAAUAGCAUUACAAAUAUAGUGCGGAUUGUUAUUGGCACCCGAGUUUGACUUGAGGUACAUACAUUAUCCUGACCUUUUUCCCUAUUGUCCCUGGUCAUAGCGACAUAAACGAUCUUCCAAUCGAGAGGUCACCCUAUCAAUAUUGACGAGGCAUUUCGGAAUCUACUUUGUCCGCCGCAACAAAGUAAAAAUCUGUCAACUAAACAAAUUUAUAACUCUGACGAAAAAUAUCAUUUUUGGAAGUGUUUGCCUCAGAAUUCACUGGUCACUGGUAAAGAACUAUCCAUCGAUGGGUACAAAGCAUCCAAAGAGAAAAUAACUUUGCUUUGCUUGGUAAUGCUGCUGAGACACACAGCUGCAAACAGAUGGUAAUAGGAAUAAGUGUCAAUCCAAGUGUAUUAAAACAUGUUUAUAAAUCAAAUAAGAGAGCCUGGGUAAUACAAGAAUUUUUCCUCGAGGGGUUCAACAACAAUUUUGUGCCAGAAGUAAGAGAAAAUCUACAAAACAUUGGCUUUGAUAGGAACUGCAAGGUGCUUUUGCUUGUAGAUAAUUGUCCAGCUCACCCAGAUGUAACUGUUCUGAAAUUUGAAAACGUUGCAGUAAAAUUUUUGCUUAAUUCAACCUAUGUAUCAAGGGGUAAACCGAAGCUUCAAAUGCAAUUACCGAAAAUCAAUUAUCCAAAAAUUUUUGACUGCAGACAUGAUUUCGCCAAGUCUUUGAAUAUUAAUGGCUGGUACUAUAUUCGUUUUUCAAGGUUACUUUUUUGAAACACUACAAAACUCUCGAUCAUAACACAACACUUUUAUGAAUGAGCGAAUGUCAUACUGAAUGAAAUCAGCAAGUUGUUUUGCUUCAAAAUCUGUUACCUAAAAAAAGUAAUCGUGAAAAAAUUUCACUUAAGCAAAUAUAGUACUACCCUUAAGACAGCUUUGUGGACAGCGGCUCUAUCUUGGGACAAGGUAACAGCACAAGUGUUACACAAUAUUUGGAACAACCUGCUGUCCCAAGAUGACGAAAAUGCAAACCAUGCCGCAGUUGUACAAUCAGACAUUGUAAUACCGCCUGGAUGUUCUAUUGAUGACCUCUCAACGUGGAUCGGAUGUGAUGAUGAGGUCACAUCCUGUGCUAUUUUAUCUGAUGCCGAAAUAAUACGUAUGGCAAAUCAAAGCGAAGAUUACGCAACUGAUGGGGAUUCCGUAGUGUCAGACGAAGGAAAUUCAAAAGACCCAGAAAAACCCACAUUGGCACAUGCAAUAGAGGAAUGCAGUGUUCUUUUGAAAUUUCUUGAAAACAAUAGAAUUCCAGAAUUUUCAGAGCCAGAUGCUGCAUUACAUCGCAUACAAACAAAAAAUACACAAUAAAAAAUACAAUACUUUAAAUAAUUAUAUAAAAUCCCGUUUACACUGCUUAUUAAAUCCGAUCAUCUGAUCAUGGCUCGAUCAUCUGUUUUCCCUUUAUAACAUCAGCUGAGGAGAGCCUUAAAUCCGGAUUUAAUGAGCAGUGUUAGCGGGGCUUAACUUAAAGUAUUGUAAAUUUUGUCCAUAAACAAAUUUUGCCCAAACUUCUCACAUAUCAAUGAGUGCAGUCCGAUUCAAGUUUAAGCUCAAUGAUAAAGGACUUCCUUUUUAUAGCCGAGUCCGAACGGCGUGCCGCAGUGCGACACCUCUUAGGAGAGAAGAUUUACAUGCCAUAGUACCUCACAAAUGUUGCCAGCAUUAGGAGGGGAAAACCACCGCUGAUAAUUUUUUCUGAUGGUCUCGUCCGGAGUGGCUUCCACUUAAAGUAUAAAUUAACUUAUGGUAUAUAUUUUUUAAAACGCUAUCUAUAUACCCUUGUAUGUAUAUAACCUCAUAGAACUAUUAAUUGUGUUUUUUGAUUUUCCUGAGAGCCGGAUAAUUAAGGUUCAAAUGUAGUUGUGUGUGCGUGUGUACACACAACAAAGAAAAUUUUGUUGUUCGGCAUGUUGCAACAAUUAAAGGUGGUCUCAUUUGUACAACCACAAUCAUUUGGUGCAAUCCGUUAUAUUGUCAUCAUGCUGAUCGCCGUUUUGCAAACACACGCAUACAAAUCUGUGUGCGUUUGACUAUACGUGUGUGUACAUGUUAAGUCCAUAAAGUCUGCGUUCAUGUGACAAUUUCUUUUUUAAUGAUUAAAAAACAACAUAAAAAAAUAAAUAAAGUUAAGUUUUUUUGUAGAUGUUGUUUCUUUAUAUUUCUUAAAUUAGAAAACAAAAACAAAAAUACAAGUUUGCUUUUGCUUUUUUGUUCUAACGGUACUUUUGUCUUAUAAGAAGAAAUUAUGACAACCAAAAAGUCUGCGUUCACUUUGUUUACUUCAAAAGUACCGUUACUUUUUAUGAUGCUUGUUCUUAUUUUUGAUCAGCUUCAGUUCAUUAUCUUAACAAGUAAAAGUUACACGUGUUUUUUUUAAUUAAUAAAUUUGGAAACUAAAGGAAAGGAAAUAUGCAUAUCUGAAAGAAAAAUAAUUAUUAAACUGUGGAAAGAAGGACAAAGCUUUAGAAAUAUUGGUGGAACAGAUGGAAGACAUAUUCUUCUGUCCAGCGGGUAAUUAAUAAUUACAAAGAAACCGGCAUUAUAACUUCAAAGCCUCGGCCUGGGCGUCCAAAAAAAAUUAUCCGUUAGAGAAGAGCGCAAAGUGAUUAAUAUGGCAAGCAACAACCCUCGUAUAACAUCAACCAAAAUUGGUGAAAAUGUUUAAAAAAAGCACCUGUGCCGAAGUUGCCAGAAAAAUAUUACAUAGAGCUGGAUUUCAUGGAAGAGUUUCUCAAAGAAAGCCGUAUAUUUCAGCCAUUAACAGACCAAAGUGAAUUGCAUUCGCUAAUACUUUCAACAAUAAGCCUCCUGAAUUCUGGAAACAAAUUAUUUUCUCCGACGAGAGCAAAUUCUGUAUUUUUGGCAUUAAAGGUCGGGAAAUAGUGUGGCGCAAGUGCGGGACUGAGCUGGAAAAACAAAAUUUAGUUGGAAUGGUGAAGCACGGUGGUGGUGGAGUUAUGGUGUGGGGGUGUUAAAUGUUGUCUCAUGCAAACAGCUGCCAGCCAGAUUUGACGUUAUUAAAAUGCCAGAUUUUUGUUUGCAUGAUACAUAUGUACUGUUGCAACACCAACCCAAUUUCCUUCUGUUUGAGUAAAACCAAUUGUAUAUGCAUAAAACAUUAUUUAUAUAUUUAUCUGUAUAUAUAUAUAUAUAUUUAUUUAGAUUUCUUAUUUUUUCGGGUUUCACAUAUGUAUGUCAAUAAUUUUAUUAUUCUUUAUUUAUGUAUGAAAGUAUGUAUUCAUGUUGUAUAUAAACGAUUGUUU